rnacentral:rRNA from 1 species
AGAGUUUGAUCCUGGCUCAGGACGAACGCUGGCGGCGCGCCUAACACAUGCAAGUCGAACGAGUGAGAGAGAGCUUGCUUUCUCGAGCGAGUGGCGAACGGGUGAGUAACGCGUGAGGAACCUGCCUCAAAGAGGGGGACAACAGUUGGAAACGACUGCUAAUACCGCAUAAGCCCACGGGUCGGCAUCGACCAGAGGGAAAAGGAGCAAUCCGCUUUGAGAUGGCCUCGCGUCCGAUUAGCUAGUUGGUGAGGUAAUGGCCCACCAAGGCGACGAUCGGUAGCCGGACUGAGAGGUUGAACGGCCACAUUGGGACUGAGACACGGCCCAGACUCCUACGGGAGGCAGCAGUGGGGAAUAUUGCACAAUGGGGGAAACCCUGAUGCAGCGACGCCGCGUGGAGGAAGAAGGUCUUCGGAUUGUAAACUCCUGUUGUUGGGGAAGAUAAUGACGGUACCCAACAAGGAAGUGACGGCUAACUACGUGCCAGCAGCCGCGGUAAAACGUAGGUCACAAGCGUUGUCCGGAAUUACUGGGUGUAAAGGGAGCGCAGGCGGGAAGACAAGUUGGAAGUGAAAUCCAUGGGCUCAACCCAUGAACUGCUUUCAAAACUGUCUUUCUUGAGUAGUGCAGAGGUAGGCGGAAUUCCCGGUGUAGCGGUGGAAUGCGUAGAUAUCGGGAGGAACACCAGUGGCGAAGGCGGCCUACUGGGCACCAACUGACGCUGAGGCUCGAAAGUGUGGGUAGCAAACAGGAUUAGAUACCCUGGUAGUCCACACCGUAAACGAUGAUUACUAGGUGUUGGAGGAUUGACCCCUUCAGUGCCGCAGUUAACACAAUAAGUAAUCCACCUGGGGAGUACGACCGCAAGGUUGAAACUCAAAGGAAUUGACGGGGGCCCGCACAAGCAGUGGAGUAUGUGGUUUAAUUCGACGCAACGCGAAGAACCUUACCAAGUCUUGACAUCCUGCGACGAUGCUGGAAACAGUAUUUUCCUUCGGGACGCAGAGACAGGUGGUGCAUGGUUGUCGUCAGCUCGUGUCGUGAGAUGUUGGGUUAAGUCCCGCAACGAGCGCAACCCCUGUGAUAUGUUACCAGUAUCAAGUUAGGGACUCAUAUCAGACUGCCGGUGACAAACCGGAGGAAGGUGGGGAUGACGUCAAAUCAUCAUGCCCCUUAUGGCCUGGGCUACACACGUACUACAAUGGCAUCUACAAAGAGCAGCGGCACUGUGAAGUGGAGCGAAUCUCAUAAAGGAUGUCUCAGUUCGGAUUGAAGUCUGCAACCCGACUUCAUGAAGUCGGAAUUGCUAGUAAUCGUGGAUCAGCAUGCCACGGUGAAUACGUUCCCGGGCCUUGCACACACCGCCCGUCA